rnacentral:rRNA from 1 species
GUGGGGAAUUUUGGACAAUGGGCGCAAGCCUGAUCCAGCAAUGCCGCGUGCAGGAAGAAGGCCUUCGGGUUGUAAACUGCUUUUGUACGGAACGAAACGGUCCGGGUUAAUACCCUGGGCUAAUGACGGUACCGUAAGAAUAAGCACCGGCUAACUACGUGCCAGCAGCCGCGGUAAUACGUAGGGUGCAAGCGUUAAUCGGAAUUACUGGGCGUAAAGCGUGCGCAGGCGGUUUUGUAAGACAGGCGUGAAAUCCCCGGGCUCAACCUGGGAAUUGCGCUUGUGACUGCCAGGCUGGAGUGCGGCAGAGGGGGAUGGAAUUCCGCGUGUAGCAGUGAAAUGCGUAGAUAUGCGGAGGAACACCGAUGGCGAAGGCAAUCCCCUGGGCCUGCACUGACGCUCAUGCACGAAAGCGUGGGGAGCAAACAGGAUUAGAUACCCUAGUAGUCC